rnacentral:rRNA from 1 species
CCUACGGGAGGCAGCAGUGGGGAAUUUUGGACAAUGGGCGCAAGCCUGAUCCAGCCAUGCCGCGUGCGGGAAGAAGGCCUUCGGGUUGUAAACCGCUUUUGUCAGGGAAGAAAUCCUUUGGGUUAAUACCUCGGAGGGAUGACGGUACCUGAAGAAUAAGCACCGGCUAACUACGUGCCAGCAGCCGCGGUAAUACGUAGGGUGCGAGCGUUAAUCGGAAUUACUGGGCGUAAAGCGUGCGCAGGCGGUUAUGCAAGACAGAUGUGAAAUCCCCGGGCUCAACCUGGGAACUGCAUUUGUGACUGCAUAGCUAGAGUACGGUAGAGGGGGAUGGAAUUCCGCGUGUAGCAGUGAAAUGCGUAGAUAUGCGGAGGAACACCGAUGGCGAAGGCAAUCCCCUGGACCUGUACUGACGCUCAUGCACGAAAGCGUGGGGAGCAAACAGGAUUAGAUACCCUGGUAGUCCACGCCCUAAACCGAUGUCAACUGGUUGUUGGACGGCUUGCUGUUCAGUAACGAAGCUAACGCGNGAGUGACGCCGNGGNGGACGCGCGAGUGACGACGAAGAGUAGAGNGNGAGAGNGCGAGGACGACGACGAGGGAGGAGG